rnacentral:lncRNA from 1 species
ACUCUUCUCCGGUUCCUGUCCUCUACGGUUACUAAUCUUUGGUGUUGUAGGCAUAGUGUAUAUUAGUAACUAAAAUAGUAUUGCUUCUUUUCCUCUUUUUUUCUUUUUGGUGAGCGGAGACCGGUUACCGCAAACGGCGGUAACGGAAGAAGCGGAGGCGAGGGAAACCGAGAGCAGGGGAUGAGCUAAGGAGGCUCUCAGGUUUCCGGUUACCAGUAGAGACCAUAAAACCUGGGUGCCACAAUUUUACAUAGAAGGAAAAACAAAUGCUAAUAGUAAAGAGAG